GAGAUUUGGAGCCAGGAGGCAUUUCUUUCUUUUCUUUCUCUCUCUCUCUUUCUUUUGUUGUAGGUGGAACCAAUGCCUUUUUUUAAGAGAGAGAGAGAGAGAGAGAGAGAGAGAGAGAGAGAGGAGAGAACUUUUUAACAUUUAUU
rnacentral:miRNA from 1 species